UACGUAGGUGGCAAGCGUUAUCCGGAUUUAUUGGGCGUAAAGAGUGCGCAGGCGGUUUGCCAAGUCUAAGAUCAAAGUCCGAAGCUCAACUUCGGUUCGUUUUAGAAACUAGCAGGCUCGAGUGUGGUAGAGGCAAGUGGAAUUUCUAGUGUAGCGGUAGAAUGCGUAGAUAUUAGAAGGAACACCAGUGGCGAAGGCGACUUGCUGGGCCAUCACUGACGCUCAUGCACGAAAGCGUGGGGAGCAAAUAGG
rnacentral:rRNA from 1 species